GAUGAACGCUAGCGGCAGGCCUAACACAUGCAAGUCGCGGGGCAGCGCGGUGCAGCAAUGCACUGGCGGCGACCGGCGCACGGGUGCGUAACGCGUAUGCAACCUGCCCAUUCCCGGGGGAUAGCCCGCCGAAAGGCGGAUUAAUACCCCAUGGCCCCUAGGUUCCGCAUGGGACUCAGGGUAAAGCUCCGGCGGGAAUGGAUGGGCAUGCGUGCCAUUAGCUGGUUGGUAGGGUAACGGCUUACCAAGGCUACGAUGGCUAGGGGGUCUGGGAGGAUGAUCCCCCACACUGGUACUGAGACACGGACCAGACUCCUACGGGAGGCAGCAGUGAGGAAUAUUGGUCAAUGGGCGGAAGCCUGAACCAGCCAUGCCGCGUGCAGGACGACGGCCCUACGGGUUGUAAACUGCUUUUCCGGGGGAAGAAUAACCCCCCUGCGGGGGGGGAUGCCGGUACCCCGGGAAUAAGGAUCGGCUAACUCCGUGCCAGCAGCCGCGGUAAUACGGAGGAUCCUAGCGUUAUCCGGAUUUACUGGGUUUAAAGGGUGCGUAGGCGGACCCCUAAGUCCGCGGUGAAAGUCUGCGGCUCAACCGUAGGAUUGCCGUGGAUACUGGGGGUCUUGGAUUCGGUCGGGGCGGGCGGAAUGCGUGGUGUAGCGGUGAAAUGCAUAGAUAUCACGCAGAACGCCGAUAGCGAAGGCAACUCGCCGGGCCGACAUCGACGCUGAGGCACGAAAGCGUGGGGAACAAACA
rnacentral:rRNA from 1 species